rnacentral:rRNA from 1 species
GACGAACGCUGGCGGCGUGCUUAAUACAUGCAAGUCGAGCGAGGUUACUGUUUUGGAUCCCUUCGGGGUGAAGAAGCUUUAACCUAGCGGCGGACGGGUGAGUAACGCGUGGGUAACCUACCCCAAAGUCCGGGAUAACAGCGGGAAACCGCUGCUAAUACCGGAUGUCUUUACCUUGGGGCAUCUUGAGGUAAAGAAAGGUAACGCUUUGGGAUGGGCCCGCGUCCCAUUAGCUAGUUGGUGAGGUAACGGCUCACCAAGGCGACGAUGGGUAGCCGGCCUGAGAGGGUGGACGGCCACACUGGGACUGAGACACGGCCCAGACUCCUACGGGAGGCGGCAGUAGGGAAUAUUGCGCAAUGGACGGAAGUCUGACGCAGCGACGCCGCGUGAGCGAUGAAGGUCUUCGGAUCGUAAAGCUCUGUCCUUGGGGAAGAAGGCGAAAGCUUGACGGUACCCAAGAAGAAAGCCCCGGCUAACUACGUG